CAGCCGUAAACUAUGCGCGUUAGGUGUACUGGUAACCACGAGUCACCGGGUGCCGAAGGGAAACCGUGAAACGUGCCGCCUGGGAAGUACGGUCGCAAGGCUGAAACUUAAAGGAAUUGGCGGGGGAGCACCACAACAGGUGGAGCCUGCGGUUUAAUUGGACUCAACGCCGGGAAUCUCACCGGAUAGGACAGCAGAAUGAUUGCCGGGCUGAAGACCCUGCAUGACUAGCUGAGAGGUGGUGCAUGGCGUCAGUGACU
rnacentral:rRNA from 1 species